rnacentral:rRNA from 1 species
GACGAACGCUGGCGGCGUGCCUAAUACAUGCAAGUAGAACGCUGAAGCUUGGUGCUUGCACCGAGCGGAUGAGUUGCGAACGGGUGAGUAACGCGUAGGUAACCUGCCUGGUAGCGGGGGAUAACUAUUGGAAACGAUAGCUAAUACCGCAUAAGAGUAGAUGUUGCAUGACAUUUGCUUAAAAGGUGCAAUUGCAUCACUACCAGAUGGACCUGCGUUGUAUUAGCUAGUUGGUGAGGUAACGGCUCACCAAGGCAACGAUACAUAGCCGACCUGAGAGGGUGAUCGGCCACACUGGGACUGGGCCACGGCCCCGACUCCUACGGGAGGCAGCAGUAGGGAAUCUUCGGCAAUGGACGGAAGUCUGACCGAGCAACGCCGCGUGAGUGAAGAAGGUUUUCGGAUCGUAAAGCUCUGUUGUAAGAGAAGAACGAGUGUGAGAGUGGAAAGUUCACACUGUGACGGUAUCUUACCAGAAAGGGACGGCUAACUACGUG